rnacentral:rRNA from 1 species
AUGACAUAAAAUAAACCGGAUAAUACGAACAAUAGUUUAAAAUUCAAACAAUUUGGCGGUGUCUUAUAUACUCAGGGGAACCUGUCUCUUAAUUCGAUAAUCCACGACAGCUCAUCCAUACCUAAAACAUAGCCUGUGUACUGCUGUCGUCAGUAAACCUCUAUAAGAAAGUUUACAACAAUGAUCUCAUCACCUACGUCAAGUCAAAGUGCAGCUAAUGGUAUGGAGAUGAUGGGUUACACUCUUAACAAAGAUUACCAAUCUUUCUUAUAAAUAAGAAAGUGAGGGUGGACUUGAUAGUAAUAUAAUAUAAUAAUAUGAACACAACCUAAGACAUGCACACAUCGCCCGUCACUCUCGUCCAAAGAUG